rnacentral:lncRNA from 1 species
UUCGCUGCUGUGCCUGCUCCUGUGAAGAGCCUACAAAGCAGGACUUCUGGAGACGGACUGUGCUGACCCCACUGAGACCCCACUGACGUAUCCAUGGUAAUUUUAAAGAGAAGUGCGUAAUGCCUGGGAGCAAUUCGUAGCAGGUCGGAAACAUCCUGAUCAUUCAGUGCAUUAUGGACCUAGGCAGCUGCGUCAGCUAAGAGCGCAUCUGUCUUCAUUGCAAAGAGGGCUGAGGCAGUUUUUUAAAGCUCCUGGUUAUUAUUUCAAAAGUGUUGGAAGAGGAAAAGUGAUAUACUGCCUUCUSUAAGGCUGUAUCCUGCUGCAGGACUGCCCAGCCUUGUUGCUGAGUUAUACAAAACAGUAAAAUACCAGUUUGAGAUGAAGAAGUUGAACUCUGACAGCUUACACCAAAACUUKGGACAGGUAGUGUUGUUUGUGACUUUUUUUUAAAAAAAAAAAUUGAGCUGCUUUACAUCCCUGAUAAUGUUAUUUUAGUGUCACUUAGUAACUCCUGCCCGUGAUCUUUUUGUUUUCCAUUUCCAAAAACGAGAAUGUAUGGAAGAUGGUCCUACAAGAUGGUUUCUGAUCGGCUUUCCAAGCCUCCAGAAUGGAGAGUCUUGUCUAGUUAAUGAAGGCUCAUAGG